AUUGAACGCUGGCGGCAUGCCUUACACAUGCAAGUCGAACGGCAGCACGGGAGCAAUCCUGGUGGCGAGUGGCGAACGGGUGAGUAAUAUAUCGGAACGUGCCCAGUCGUGGGGAUAACGUAGCGAAAGCUACGCUAAUACCGCAUACGAUCUAAGGAUGAAAGCGGGGGAUCGCAAGACCUCGCGCGAUUGGAGCGGCCGAUAUCAGAUUAGGUAGUUGGUGAGGUAAAGGCUCACCAAGCCGACGAUCUGUAGCUGGUCUGAGAGGACGACCAGCCACACUGGGACUGAGACACGGCCCAGACUCCUACGGGAGGCAGCAGUGGGGAAUUUUGGGACAAUGGACGCAAGUCUGAUCCAGCCAUUCCGCGUGCAGGAUGAAGGCCCUCGGGUUGUAAACUGCUUUGUACGGAACGAAAAGGUUUCUAUUAAUACUAGGAGCUCAUGACGGUACCGUAAGAAUAAG
rnacentral:rRNA from 1 species